rnacentral:lncRNA from 1 species
GGCACCAUGUCUGCUGGCCUGGUGGCCACAGUAGAAUCUCUUUUCUCUUUCUUCUUUAUUCCCUAAAGUCUUAAAGAUAACUAUCUUCACAAGCAAUAUAUGCAAAUAUAUUCUCACUGGAAAGAAUUUUAAAAAUAGAGAAAUAUGGCUGGGUGCAGUGGCUCAUGCCUGUAAUGCCAGCACCUUGGGAGGCUGAGCUAGGAGGAUUGCUUGAGCUCAGGAGUUUGAGAUCAGCCUGGGCAACAUGGGGAGACCCCAUCUCAACAAAAAAUACAAAAAUUAGCUGGGUGUGGUGGUGUGCACCUGUGGUCCCAGCUACUUGGGAGACUGAGGUGGGAGAAUUGCUUGGGACCAGGAAGUCAAGGUUGCAGUGAGCUGUGAUCACACCACUGCACUCCAGCCUGGGUGACAGGUUUAAACCAGUUUUAAUUGGAUUUCCCUCACUUGAAACAAGGAAGACCUGAAUAAUAUUGCUUCUGUCUGCAUGUCCAAAUACUUUCAUUUUUCAAGAAGCAAUGUUAUACCAAGGUCAGAACAAAGGAACACUUUAUGCUGAUCCUU